UGGGGAAUAUUGGGCAAUGGACGAAAGUCUGACCCAGCCAUGCCGCGUGAAUGAUGAAGGCUUUAGGGUUGUAAAGUUCUUUCACCGAUGAAGAUAAUGACGGUAGUCGGAGAAGAAGCCCCGGCUAACUUCGUGCCAGCAGCCGCGGUAAUACGAAGGGGGCUAGCGUUGUUCGGAAUUACUGGGCGUAAAGCGAGCGUAGGUUGCUCGAUGUGUCAGUGGUGAAAGCCCAGAGCUCAACUCUGGAACUGCCAUUGAAACUGUCGAGCUGGAAUCUCAGAGGGGGUAGCGGAAUUCCAAAUGUAGGGGUGAAAUCCGUAGAUAUUUGGAGGAACACCGGUGGCGAAGGCGGCUACCUGGAUGAGUAUUGACACUGAGGCUCGAAAGCGUGGGGAUCAAACAG
rnacentral:rRNA from 1 species